UAGUGCGCGAUCAUAAUCAACCAUGACUCCGCAAAUGAGUGCCGUGUGAGUACCAUCCAAAGGAACAGCAAAAAGAUGAACAAGAGAGAAGAGACUCGCCCGAGGAGGCAUCAGGCGAUGGCGGAAUAACAUGAGAUUUAUCAUUAUUAUGUAAACUGAAGGGAAAUGAUAGAGCAUUAUUGAAAAAAGAAUCGAGCACAAUUGUAUAUACAUAUAUACUUGCAUAAGGUGGCUACGGAGGUUAAAUGGCAGAUACGUGCGAAAUUAUAACGAUACUAAUGUAUAUUUAAUGUCUAAACUUUGAAUGCGGCUCACGGUCCGCCACAAGAUAACAUUUUAAAUAUGUUUUUGCAUUUAUGCGGCUGAGAGACUGCGCGUGCGAUACGAUCCUCGCGUCGGCGCGUCACGAGAAGAGAGAGCGAGCGCAUUGAACACGGCCAGGGAAAAAGGGAAGUUUUUAACACAACGAUUGCGAGCUCGACUGUGCUCCUCUACCCUUUCCAAGGCGCAGUAGCUAAGAAAAGCUGCAUCAAGAAUCUACGGUCUUAUACUGCCGACCGGGGAGAAUACCAGAAGUUUUUCCAUUCGCCAUAACGACAAAAGAAACGAAGUGGCGCGAGGAACACCCUUAUUUCAGUCUGUCAUGACAGGCAAAUUUUGACAGACGUGAGAAUUUGUCAUUUUUGAAU